ACUUUGUUCCCAGUGUAGUUUUUACCAUAGUGAUGGAUGACCAUAGGUCAGUAAUUGUAAUUGCAGAACUGAGAGGCGGCCAUCUAUUGGAGGUAGGCGGAGACUUCUCACAGCUGAGCAGGAGACUUCCCUGGUGAAUAUGGUGAUUGCCAAUAAUGCUAUCCGUUUGAGGGAAAUUCAAAUCCAAAUAUUUGAAGACCAGGUAGUCUUCCAAGGAAUUGACAGCAUCAGCAUUUCCACCAUUGACCGGAUCAUUCAGAAGAACCACAUAAGGACAAAGCAGCUGUACUGUGUUCUUUUGAAAGGAAUUCAAAAGAGUUAAGGAGCAAUGAUUCCAAUAUGUGCAGAGAAUCUUUGAGCUGGAUGCCAUGGCUGACAAACAGGAGUACAUCUUCAUUGACGAGGCAGGGUUCAACAUAAUGAAAGGGGGCGCAGCAUCAUUGGUCACCGUGCCAUCAUAUAAGUCCCUGGCCAGAGGGGAGGCAACGUCACCCUAUGUGCAGUCAUCAGCAAUUGUGGCGCCCUCCACCGCCAUGUCAAAGUGGGUCCAUACAACAUGGCAAAACUCCUUCAAUUUCUAGAUCAGCUGCACAAUAACAUUCUUCAACAGGAAGGGGAACCAGGUCAACCAGAGCAAGCUCAAUAUCUUGUCAUUUGGGAUAACUUCAUUUUCCAUCGGGCUGCUCAGGUUCGCACCUGGUUCUUUUUGGCCAGCAUAUUCCCCUUUUUUGAAUCCGAUUGAGGAAUUUUUCUCAGCAUGGCGGUGGAGAGUGUAUGAUUGCAACCCUGACACACAGCAAAACCUCCUGGAGGCAAUGCUGGACACUAUCCAGGGUUUUCUAAGGCACACAACAGCAUUUUUCCCACGCUGUCUGGCAAGAGCAAACAUAAUGUGUCACGUUGAUGAGAUAUUAUGGCCUGACCCAGACCUGAGAUGAUGAGAACACGGAUGCUGAUGUUGAGUAACCUGUACAUUUCCUGCAUUUGUAAAUAAAGCUUUUAAAAAUUUGA